rnacentral:rRNA from 1 species
AGAGUACGUGAAACCGCUUAGAGGUAAACGGGUGGAUCCGCAAAGUCGGCCCGGGGAAUUCAACUUGCCGUUUUUGGGCGGCGGACGUUAGGUCAGGGAUCCGUAAAGACCCGCCCGGCGUUCGGCUGUCGUCGGCGAGUGCACUUUCCUCGGGUAGAGCGCCACGACCGGUUUGGCGGGCGGUCAGAAGCCGGCCGGGAAGGUGACUUGCUCUUCGGAGCAAGUGUUAUAGCCCGGCCAGUGUCGACUCGUUCCCAGACCGAGGAUUUGCCGCGUCUCACUUGCCCUCGGCUCUCUGCGUGCGUUCGACUGGGGAAGCACUGCUUGCCAGUUCUCUCCGACCGCGUGCGUUGAUCGGCCGGGAAGCACGAGGCGCUUCGGGUCAGUGGCGAAUCGGUCGGUCCUCCACCCGAC